ensembl:lncRNA
CUUUCCUGAUUUUGUACUUGUGACGAGUGGGGCGGGGCCGAGAGCCGUGGGAACGGAGCGAGGCCGGUGGAGUGAUUGGGAAAUGAGCGACACCUGCUCCACUCACCGGUCUCGAGUCCCACGGAGGAGAUCGGGAGGAUACAAAAGAGGAGCGACGACAGUGAAGGACGAGAGAGGACCAGGCCUGGGUUUUAUUUUGUGUUUGGUUUUUGUUUGUGCGCCAGUCGCCCGUGAGGGGCUGUCGCGCUGUUUUAUGUUUAUUUGGUUAUUAAAGUUUGAUUUGAAUGUUCGCCGGUUCCCGCCUCCUUCUUCCCGUAAUUAUGGAGUAUUAUUAUUACAGUACUCUUCAUGUAUUUCUUCUAAAGCAGCAGCAAUUACAUCGAAUGUGUGUGAUCCUGCCAUCCGCCUGCAAGCCAAGGCUGCUGAACAGCUCUCUAAAGAUGUACUGUUUAUCCAGUAGCAGGUUAACCCCGAAGUAACUGCGCUGCCUGGCUGACCAGCAGUCUGCAGUUGUAGCAACGUACUCAGCAUUGUUUAAUUUUUGGAUAAGUGCAC